AACGAACGCUGGCGGCAUGCCUAACACAUGCAAGUCGAACGAGACCUUCGUGUCUAGUGGCGCACGGGUUCGUAACGCGUGGGAACCUGCCCUUAGGUUCGGAAUAACUCCCCUAAAGGGGUGCUAAUACCGGUUAAUGUCUUCGGACCAAAGAUUUAUCGCCUUUGGUUGUGCCCGAGUUGGAUUAGCUAGUUGGUUGGGUAAAAGCCUACCAAGGCGACGAUCCAUAGCUGGUAUGAGAGGAUGAUCAGCCACACUGGGACUGAGACACGGGCCAGACACCUAAGGGAGGAAGCAGAGGGGAAAAUAGGACAAUGGGCGAAAGCAUGAAACAGCAAUGCCGCGUGAGUGAUGAAGGGGUUAGGGUUGUAAAGCUAUUUUAACCGGGAUGAUAAUGACAGAACCGGGAGAAUAAGCACCGGCUAACACCGU
rnacentral:rRNA from 1 species